rnacentral:rRNA from 1 species
GGAAACGGUGGCUAAUACCGCAUAACGUCGCAAGACCAAAGAGGGGGACCUUCGGGCCUCUCACUAUCGGAUGAACCCAGAUGGGAUUAGCUAGUAGGUGGGGUAACGGCUCACCUAGGCGACGAUCCCUAGCUGGUCUGAGAGGAUGACCAGCCACACUGGAACUGAGACACGGUCCAGACUCCUACGGGAGGCAGCAGUGGGGAAUAUUGCACAAUGGGCGCAAGCCUGAUGCAGCCAUGCCGCGUGUAUGAAGAAGGCCUUCGGGUUGUAAAGUACUUUCAGCGGGGAGGAA